AGUAAUACAUAAGUAACCUGCCCUAGACAGGGGGAUAACUAUUGGAAACGAUAGCUAAGACCGCAUAGGUACGGACACUGCAUGGUGACCGUAUUAAAAGUGCCUCAAAGCACUGGUGGAGGAUGGACUUAUGGCGCAUUAGCUGGUUGGCGGGGUAACGGCCCACCAAGGCGACGAUGCGUAGCCGACCUGAGAGGGUGACCGGCCACACUGGGACUGAGACACGGCCCAG
rnacentral:rRNA from 1 species